CCUACGGGAGGCAGCAGUGGGGGAUAUUGCACAAUGGAGGAAACUCUGAUGCAGCGACGCCGCGUGAGGGAAGACGGUCUUCGGAUGGUAAACCUCUGUCUUUGGGGAAGAAAAUGACGGUACCCAAAGAGGAAGCUGCGGCGAACGACGUGCCAGCAGCCGCGGUAAUACGUAGGGAGAGAGCGUGGUCCGGAAUUACUGGGUGUAACGGGAGCGUAGGCGGGCGUGAAAGUUGAAUGUUAAAUCUACCGGCUUAACUGGUAGCUGCGUUCAAACCUUCUUGUCUUGAUUGAAGGAGAGGCCGGCGCAAUUCCUAGUGUAGCGGUGAAAUGCGUAGAUAUUAGGAGGAACACCAGUGGCGAAGGCGGCCUGCUGGGCUUUACCUGCCGCUGAGGCUC
rnacentral:rRNA from 1 species